UAAAAUGCAUGAAAAAUAGUUUUUCUUUUGGUUAGUACUUUUUUUUUUACUUUCAAAGCCAUGUCAAUGAUAUUCCUUAACUACAUUUCUUUUCUUUGCAGCAAAGAAGAAGAGAAUAAAUGAAGGCUUGAAUUAUAAAUUUUAUUUCUGUUGCACUAUUUAAUCAAAUUUCGAUUUUCACUUUGUUUUUUUCUUCCUCCAUCUCUCUCAUAAGGAAUGAAGAAGCAGCACAUGCACCAUGAAGGCAGCCUCAAGCUUCAAAGUAAGGGUUUCCAAAUCAAAUCUAUUUUGAUUUAUUUUAUUUCCUUCAAUUUGAUGUUGAUUGAUCAUUUCUGAUUUUGUUUUCUUUUUGGAAUGUUNNNNNNNNNNNNNNNNNNNNNNNNNNNNNNCAAUAUUUCAAUUUCUUUCUUUUUUGAAAUCCCUAAUUUUCUAAUCCUCUUUUUGUUUCUUUUCCGGCAACAGACAAGUAACAGAUUGAAGCGGCAAUGGAAGGAACCAAACAAGGGCACACCUUCGGAACCACUAUUAGCAAGGACACAUAGCAGGAACCAGUUCAAGUGGUAUUAUUAUUAUUAUUAAUGAUUAUUUGUUUUUUAAAUGGUGUUUUGGUUUGAUGGUUUGCUUUGUGACAAUUUUAGUUGAUGUUAAUUUUAUUGUUCUGUUAUUUAUAAGCCUAAGAAAAAUUAAGAACUUUCAAUCUCUCAUAUUUGAGUAUAUAUGUUUGAAAAGGAGUAUCAUGCCAAUAUAUAACAAAAAUAUUACAUGAAAACAAAAAUCUGGUAUAAAAAAAUGUCAACCAACUUUGGAUUAUGAAAAAAGAUGUUUCUCAUUAUUGUGUUUCAUUCAUUUUUGGAAUGUAAACUCAUUGUCAUUUUUGUAUUCCAGACCCAUAUUCAUUUUCGAAUUUCAUGUCAUUAUAUUUUAUUCCUUCAAUUUGUAAUGAUGUUGCUUCCUGCUCUACUCAGAUCUUUGUUUUAUUUUUUGUUUUCAUGUGCAAUCAGAGGUUGCUGCUGCCCAUCAAUUUGGGGAUAAAUGUAUGCCAUGUUAACAAUCAAAACAACUAUUCAUUUUCUUUCUAAUGUGAUGAGAAUUUGCUUCAUCUUUUCUCAAGGUUUUUUGUUCCUUCCUUUUUACUGCUUAUUGUUAUAGUUUCAAAUAUAAAAAAUCAUGUUGUUGAUGUUGGUACGAGUAUUUGGACUUCUUAUUGUUAUAGUUUCAUAUAUUUGUAGAAUAAUUGAACAACAAUAAUAAUAAUCCUCUUUGUUAAAUUCUAAAUUAAGACAUGAACUUAACAUGAUUGUUUUGUGUUGUUCUGCAGCUACUAUUUAAAGGUGGUGUAGCAGAUUGUGCAUAUUGUUUUGUUUUCCUAUAGGUAUACUUGCUUAGCUUAUUAUGAUUUGGAGUUAAACCAUUGUGUUAUUAGUAGAUUUAUAAUUUUCAAUGGAAUUGAUCUAUUGUUUGAGUGAUCACUUAUAGUUUGAUACUUNNNNNNNNNNNUUGAAUUCCUUACUUUAAUGAGAGGAAGUAAAUUGAUCUUAAAUUUCAAUUCUAUCCAUGUUUUGUAGUUUGAUGAAAUAUUUCAUUGAUUUCUUAUCUCUGCAUUUCUUAU
rnacentral:lncRNA from 1 species